GUUUGGACAACUGGUAUCACAGCUUGAUAUGCUUUGCCCCUUUUGAUCCAACGAUCAAGAGUAAAAAAUCAAACAACAGCACAAGUAGAAUAUUCUCUUGCUAAAUGACAAUUUAUAAACUGGUCUCCAUUAUUUAGUGGCAUAAACUACAUAUACUAAAAAAUAUGUAUGUGUAUUUUCAUACAAGCUUUGGAUUAUGACAUGUGGGGUGUCACAACAAAUUAUCCUAACACACCCACUCUUGUUAUUGAUGGUAUAUCUUCUCCCAA
rnacentral:lncRNA from 1 species